UAACACGUGGGGAACCUGCCCCAUAGUCUGGGAUACCACUUGGAAACAGGUGCUAAUACCGGAUAAGAAAGCGGAUCGCAUGAUCAGCUUUUAAAAGGCGGCGUAAGCUGUCGCUAUGGGAUGGUCCCGCGGUGCAUUAGCUAGUUGGUAAGGUAAAGGCUUACCAAGGCGAUGAUGCAUAGCCGAGUUGAGAGACUGAUCGGCCACAUUGGGACUGAGACACGGCCCAAACUCCUACGGGAGGCAGCAGCC
rnacentral:rRNA from 1 species